GAAUAUCCUGCACAGGCUUCCACCUAACAAUGGACCUGCUAUGAAGAUCAGGUGGCAGACCUUUUAAAACAUCUGCUAUAGCCAUCUCAUUCUUCUUUUUUAAUUCAUCAAUUUCUUUCUGCUGCUGGACCAACAAAUUCUCUAACUUCUGCAGACCAGAUAUCACAUUCUUAGACUCACCCUCCAUUAAUAAUGUAUCCGGCAA
rnacentral:lncRNA from 1 species